rnacentral:rRNA from 1 species
UGGGGAAUUUUGGACAAUGGGCGAAAGCCUGAUCCAGCAAUGCCGCGUGUGUGAAGAAGGCCUUCGGGUUGUAAAGCACUUUUGUCCGGAAAGAAAUCCUUGGCUCUAAUACAGUCGGGGGAUGACGGUACCGGAAGAAUAAGCACCGGCUAACUACGUGCCAGCAGCCGCGGUAAUACGUAGGGUGCAAGCGUUAAUCGGAAUUACUGGGCGUAAAGCGUGCGCAGGCGGUUUGCUAAGACCGAUGUGAAAUCCCCGGGCUCAACCUGGGAACUGCAUUGGUGACUGGCAGGCUAGAGUAUGGCAGAGGGGGGUAGAAUUCCACGUGUAGCAGUGAAAUGCGUAGAGAUGUGGAGGAAUACCGAUGGCGAAGGCAGCCCCCUGGGCCAAUACUGACGCUCAUGCACGAAAGCGUGGGGAGCAAACAGGAUUAGAUACCCUGGUAGUCCACGCCCUAAACGAUGUCAACUAGUUGUUGGGGAUUCAUUCCUUAGUAACGUAGCUAACGCGUGAAGUUGACCGCCUGGGGAGUACGGUCGCAAGAUUAAAACUUCAAAUGAAUUGACGGGGUCAUAGCUGUUUCCU